AUUUGCUCAAGUUGGUAUGAAUAAAACUUUGCUUUGACAGUUGCUUUCUCCAUUUGCGUGUUUACUUUUCGAACAUAUGAUUCCGUAUGAAUAAAGUAUGAAAUCUUGAGCAAAUGCUCAGAAAACGUUGAGCAAACGAAGUAAACUUCUGAGCAUGCUUAGUAGCAUGCUAAAGUUUUUUUAUUGGUCAAAUUUUUGUUUUAUUCAUUGUUUAUUUAGUUACAAGUAAAUUAUUUAGCAAAUUAUAGUGAAUUGAACUUUGUUGUGAAAAAAUUGAGCAACUAACAAAGCCAAACUGGCCUUUACAACAGAUAGCACCGGUUCUGAAUCGGAAAUGGUUUUCCGUAGCCGAAUACAAUAGAAUUUUCUACGGCCAUAUACUAUCAAAUCAGUUAUGGUUCACACUGAACAGGAAGAAUAUUUUUGCGAGCAGUACGAUCGUCAAAAGUUUCCUUGUUUUCUUAUGUACAACCCGCAUUUUGGAAACACGUUGAAAAACUUAGGACAACUACUGAUUCAAACAGUUGCAAUGGCCUUGUUGGUUGUGGCGACAUAGAGCGGAAGAGACGCAUCUUGACGUUUCAAUUGCAAAAACGAAUUCAACUGAAAAUAGAACAUGAUCCACAGAGGUUCCGUUCCAAUUAUCGAUGUGACAGCUGUUCACAUGAACUUUACAUGCGAUAAUACUGGAAAAGACCCCCAGAUCAUCGGCUUUGUGUUUUGUUAUCGCUUAAAUUCAAAAGUGACAUGAAAAUAAACUAAAAAGUGAAAAA